rnacentral:rRNA from 1 species
UACGUAGGGUGGCAAGCGUUUGUCCGGAAUUAUUGGGCGUAAAGCGCGCGCAGGCGGUUCCUUUAAGUCUGGAUGAUGAAAGCCCACGGCUCAACCGUGGAGGGUCAUUUGGAAACUGGGGGACUUGAGUGCAGAAGAGGAAAGCGGAAUUCCACGUGUAGCGGUGAAAUGCGUAGAGAUGUGGAGGAACACCAGUGGCGAAG